UCCUGCAACUAUAAAUUCUGCUGUUGUCAUUUACCAUCUUCCAGGUGUAGCUACUAAAUGUCUGUAUGGGAACUGCUGAAUUAUAGUCUGAACCUCUGAUUGAUCACCUGAGGCAAGCAAUGAGUCAGCCCUGGGAGCACAGGUGAAGGCAAUUCACCUGUGUUGGUGGAAGGGGUGGAGCUUGGCUCCACCUCUCCUAGACCCCAUUUAAGAGCUGACUUCCAGGGGGGAAGGAUCUUUUUCUGGAGAUCUCUUUUUCUGGAGUUUUUCGGUGAACCCAAACAUGAGCCCAGAGAGCAGGAAAUGAGUUGGCUGGUAACCAAGAAGGCACAGAAAGAAUACGGAUUUCCCAGGGAUUUUAUAUACAAUACAGAAACAGUAACUGGUAUGAGUUUGUUGCUGGAAAAACAGCUGGAUGACAGAAGAAAACAACUCUGAAACAGUAUCUGCAGCUGCUACCGGUCUGGGUUUUGGCACUCCCUACUUUCAGGAUGAAGAGUCAUUUUUCCAAAUAAUUGACGAGUAAUAAACACUGUAGAAAAGAUCUAUUGGGAAAGAAAAAACCCAACGAAAACAAUGUCCAAAAAAACUCUACAUGGAAAAGAACAGAAAAUACCGUGCAUGAUCUGGCUCAGAUUUACCAGAAUUCAGUGAAGCUGAACAAAGAAGGGGAAGGAGAAAUGUCUUCUGUUUCAUUUGAAAAACAAACAAACAAAAAGAUUCUGUAGAGUGAAAUUACCUGAAGACUGGAUCAGUAUCUAAGCAAACUGCCAAGUCUCCAAGACCAGAACGUGAGCAUGUGGCAGGAGCUGUAGUCUGCUUUAGUCUGCUUCUACAGAUUUUGUUGCUGCUGUUGGUUUUGUUCUUUCUCACCUCCUCAUCCAGCAUUACCAAGCAACAUAUUUGUCUAGCAUGUCUUGCUUGAAGUGAAAUCUGCUACAAUUUCCAUUAUCUACUUCUAAUGGGAGUUGAGCAGUUUGUUAUAACUAUCCUGAAAAUAGCUACUGAGCUACUUGAUGUUAAAUUGGUGCAUCAGGUAAAAACUGAUCUUUGUGUAAUCUUCAAGUGCAUUUCUCUUCUGUUAACUUCCGUGAGGCCUGGGUGUAAUAUUACUAAAAUCAGCAUUAUCUUUGGAAAUUCAUUCACUGAUCUCUUCAAUCCACUGAUUGUGAGAUUUAGCUUUUGGUAUGCUUGUUAUAUUUGUUAGAAAAUUGGAUUUUUUUUCCUUAGUGUUUCUAUUUCAUUUAAUUCAAGCUCUCUCCAUAAAGCUUCUGAAGUAUAAGAACAAUUGCUUCUGUUCCAAGGCUAUUUACAAUGGUUUGAAGGGCCUCCAGGGCAUCGUACGGAGAUUGCUGUAAAUCCUCGCUUUUGUAGGAAUCAGAAAAUUUGCUAUACUUCCCAAAUAAAAUAAAAUCCCAGAACUAUGUUGAGCCUUUGA